AGUGGAAUUGCUGGGUCAUAUGGUAACUCCUGUUGAACUUUUUGAGGAACUUCCAGACUGUUUUCCAAAGUGGCUGCACCAUAUUACAUUUCCACAAGCAAC
rnacentral:pre_miRNA from 1 species